rnacentral:rRNA from 1 species
GACGAACGCUGGCGGCGUGCCUAACACAUGCAAGUCGAACGAGGUCCAAGGGAGCUUGCUCCCUGAAGACCUAGUGGCGAACGGGUGAGUAACACGUGAGAAACCUGCCUCGGAGUGGGGAAUAACUCGGGGAAACUCGAGCUAAUACCGCAUACCUUCACACGAUCGCAUGGUCGAGUGAAGAAAGAAUUUCGCUCUGAGAGGGUCUCGCGGCCUAUCAGCUUGUUGGUGGGGUAACGGCCCACCAAGGCAACGACGGGUAGCUGGUUUGAGAGAACGAUCAGCCACACUGGGACUGAGACACGGCCCAGACUCCUACGGGAGGCAGCAGUGGGGAAUCUUGCGCAAUGGGCGAAAGCCUGACCCAGCCACGCCGCGUGGGUGAUGAAGGCCUCGG